GACUGAAUUCAAAGUUCAGAGGACACUACAAAACCAAGAGCUCCAACUCUGGGCGACACCCUUGGCAACCCAACCCUGGGCAGUGGGAGUGACUAUCCCUGCGGGCUCAGGACCUUCACAGCCUCCUUGCUUGCCUAUCUCUUAGCAUAUGAGAUCUCUCUCCUGACUUCAUAAUUACUUUGGUAGAUUUCUCUGUGGCCUCAUGUAAUAAAGGCUGGCCUGUCCAUUCACUAUGUAGCUGAAGCUAGCCUUUGACCUGGGAUCCUCGCUUCAACUUCCUGGAGUACUAGGCAGCCUGCCAAGUUUCACAUUUCAACUGCACUAUGACAUGCAAGAGAAAGCCAAGUCUACUCACUGGAGGGUCAUCUACCUACUUAUAAGCACUAAUCAAGUCAGCCAUAGUAAGAAAACAUGCGAAGCUUUUGCUAAAAAAUGAUCCAACAGUUGCAGGGGACCGGACAUCCAUGGCAAAACACCAACACACAUAAAAUAAAGGUACCAACUGUAACAGCUACACUUUCUACAUGAACUACACUUGGAAGUUACUAAAUCCCAAGCAGCAGGGCACACCUGGAAGGGAUUGUUCUUGGUAUGAUCAUUUGAAGAGGGAGACUCGCCCUAAAUCCGGAUCAUGAGGUCAGAAGAUCCACCUAAACCACCUCCUGGGAGCAGCUCCCAUAAAAGGACAAGGAAGAAGGAAGCUGGUGCUUUCUCAGCCCUUACUCUCGAUGACAAGUUCAUCUAUCCCGAGUCAUUUCUUCCCUAGUGCUAGAACUUACACUACGGGAUUCCACCGGGGACUGAAACCUGGCAGUUCUCAGACCUCCCAAAGACUCCAGCACAGACUGGGAAUGCUGAGACAUCCAGUCUUGUGGACUGAACUACUUUUGAAUCCUUGGCCAUUCUGUCAGGACACAGCUAAUGUUGGACUACUCGGGCCACAGCCUGUAAGGGGCUCUAAUAAAUCAGAAA